UUUCCGCAGGUGAACCUGCGGAAGGAUCAUUCAUAAUAAAGUGUUUUAUGGCACUUUUUAAAAAUCCAUAUCCACCUUGUGUGCAAUGUUAGAUCUCGUCAAUCUUGGCGAGAUUUUUAUACAUCAACUCAUUCUUUAACUAAUUUGUCUGAAAAAUAUUAUGAAUACUUAAUUCAAAAUACAACUUUCAACAACGGAUCUCUUGGCUCUCACAUCGAUGAAGAACGCAGC
rnacentral:misc_RNA from 1 species